GUGAGGCGCGCCUAGGGUUCCGUCGCUGGUCCACAGCGGGCCUGGUCCGAGAGGUGCAGACGUCGCGGUCGGAUGCCGCGGCGUUCCACGGCGGGACAAAAGCCCGGGAGAC
rnacentral:sRNA from 2 species